AUUCCGGCACGCGUCCCUGCGCUUUCCGGGAGCCAAGGGGAGCCAACCGGGGAGUGUUGCUACGGGCAGUAAGGAGACGUCCUCACUUCUCCGGAUGCGCGCGUCCAGUAACGCAGGCGUGUCGCGAUAGUGCGAGCAGCAGUGUCUCAACACAAAGUCACCAGCACAAGUAUAAUGCGCUCAUCCAAGAGUCCCCAUUCCCUCCCUCCGCUGGAAUUGCACCCCUGAGACGCUGUUGUCCACUAGCAAGCACACCUGGCCUCCCAGCAGCAGGGCAAGGAGGCCUGACGUCUAGGAGAGAAGAGAAGUAGAAUGCAGCUGAAACACCGUAGACGGGACCUUGUAAACCUGAAAGAAAAGAGUAUAAUUGAAGGGCAUUGCCGGAUGCUAUUUCUGCCAGAGUCUUCAGGUUGCCUUUCACUUACACAAGACUUUAGGCUGAUACCUGCGAUAGCAUUUCAUUUAACAACUAAGGAAGAGAUAAUGGGUGCCUGGAGGUGCUGGCCAUUCCAGAUGAUGGAGGUGAUACAAGUGUUGACAGGUGGGAAGUGAGGAGUCACCCCAUCUUUAUGAACUGAGGGAAACAAUUCUCCCUCGGAGCAGUGAGCAAGCAUGUUUGAAAGACAACAAUCACACACUUCGCUUUUUUGAGGCAACAGUGCUAUUGAGAGUUGAAUAUCUUCAAAUUUCAUCUCCCUUGGAUGACAGAUAUGCUAAGUCUUUCAAUGCUCUAAAAUGCUUCCAGUACCUGCAGCCUCGGAAGCUCCUCUGUUUCAAUCGCAGUUUUGUAUGCUGCCCAGUUUACACUUUUUUUCCUUUGCCUCUCUUCAGCAGACAAUGAGUGGAGAUAUCUUUGGUUCUUCUGAACAGAUGGGAAGCCUGUUCCCUGGAGGGCAACAGAAAUGCAAUAGCAUGCAGUAUUACUCUCAUCUGUUUGGGGAGGUUGAUUCUGGAUGGAGGGAGACCUGUUUUUCAGUUCUCAUCCUCUUUUCUGAACCUUUUUGUCAGCAGGGCUAACUGAAAGGCCUGUAGUGCCUACAAGAACUAUUAUAACUAAUAAUCUGCUAGUAUCUAGAUUUUACUAAUACUAAACUACUAUUUAUCUUGUAAUAAAAUUACUAAUAAUCAAUUAUCUAAGAAAAAAUUCCUCUUUACUAUCCCAUAAAAGCAUAACAGCUAACAUUUCUAGCACAAGCAAUACUUAGAAAAAAUAUUUGUAGAAAUUUCACAAGAAGGUAGAAAUGGAAACUACUACGUUGUGAAAAUAUAGUCACUUCCAUCUUUU